GGGCCCGCACAAGCGGUGGAGCAUGUGGUUUAAUUCGAUGAUACGCGAGGAACCUUACCAGGGCUUAAAUGUAAGUUGCAUUAGAUAGAGAUAUCUAUUUCUUCGGACCACUUACAAGGUGCUGCAUGGUUGUCGUCAGCUCGUGCCGUGAGGUGUCAGGUUAAGUCCUAUAACGAGCGCAACCCCUGUUGUUAGUUGCCAGCGAUUCAAGUCGGGAACUCUAACAAGACUGCCGGUGCAAACCGUGAGGAAGGUGGGGAUGACGUCAAAUCAUCACGGCCCUUACGUCCUGGGCUACACACGUGCUACAAUGGUAGGGACAGAGAGCAGCCACUACGCGAGUAGGAGCGAAUCUAUAAACCCUAUCACAGUUCGGAUCGGAGUCUGCAACUCGACUCCGUGAAGCUGGAAUC
rnacentral:rRNA from 1 species